UACGUAGGCAGCGAGCGUUGUUCGGAGUUACUGGGCGUAAAGCGUGCGUAGGCGGUGUCUUAAGUUUGUUGUGAAAUCUCCCGGCUUAACCGGGAGGGUGCGGCGAAUACUGAGAUGCUGGAGUGCGGGAGAGGUAAGUGGAAUUCCUGGUGUAGCGGUGAAAUGCGUAGAUAUCAGGAGGAACACCGGUGGUGUAGACGGCUUUCUGGACCGUAACUGACGCUGGAGACACGAAAGCGUGGGUAGCAAACAGG
rnacentral:rRNA from 1 species